CUGGGUCUAAUACCGAAUACACCCUGCUGGUCGCAUGGCCUGGUGGGGGAAAGCUUUUGCGGUGUGGGAUGGGCCCGCGGCCUAUCAGCUUGUUGGUGGGGUGAUGGCCUACCAAGGCGACGACGGGUAGCCGGCCUGAGAGGGUGUCCGGCCACACUGGGACUGAGAUACGGCCCAGACUCCUACGGGAGGCAGCAUUGAAUAUUGCACAAUGGGCGCAAGCCUGAUGCAGCGACGCCGCGUGAGGGAUGACGGCCUUCGGGUUGUAAACCUCUUUCAGCACAGACGAAGCGCAAGUGACGGUAUGUGCAGAAGAAGCACCGGCCAACUACGUGCCAGCAGCCGCGGUAAUACGUAGGGUGCGAGCGUUGUCCGGAAUUACUGGGCGUAAAGAGCUCGUAGGUGGUUUGUCGCGUUGUUCGUGAAAACUCACAGCUUAACUGUGGGCGUGCGGGCGAUACGGGCAGACUAGAGUACUGCAGGGGAGACUGGAAUUCCUGGUGUAGCGGUGGAAUGCGCAGAUAUCAGGAGGAACACCGGUGGCGAAGGCGGGUCUCUGGGCAGUAACUGACGCUGAGGAGCGAAAGCGUGGGGAGCGAACAGGAUUAGAUACCCUGGUAGUCCACGCCGUAAACGGUGGGUACUAGGUGUGGGUUUCCUUCCUUGGGAUCCGUGCCGUAGCUAACGCAUUAAGUACCCCGCCUGGGGAGUACGGCCGCAAGGCUAAAACUCAAAGGAAUUGACGGGGGCCCGCACAAGCGGCGGAGCAUGUGGAUUAAUUCGAUGCAACGCGAAGAACCUUACCUGGGUUUGACAUGCACAGGACGCCGGCAGAGAUGUCGGUUC
rnacentral:rRNA from 1 species